UACGGAGGGAGCUAGCGUUAUUCGGAAUUACUGGGCGUAAAGCGCACGUAGGCGGCUUUGUAAGUAAGAGGUGAAAGCCCAGAGCUCAACUCUGGAAUUGCCUUUUAGACUGCAUCGCUUGAAUCAUGGAGAGGUCAGUGGAAUUCCGAGUGUAGAGGUGAAAUUCGUAGAUAUUCGGAAGAACACCAGUGGCGAAGGCGGCUGACUGGACAUGUAUUGACGCUGAGGUGCGAAAGCGUGGGUAGCAAACAGG
rnacentral:rRNA from 1 species